rnacentral:rRNA from 1 species
GACGAACGCUGGCGGCGUGCUUAACACAUGCAAGUCGAGCGGUAAGGCCCGUUUCGGGGGUACACGAGCGGCGAACGGGUGAGUAAACACGUGGGUGACCUGCCCUCAGCUCUGGGAUAAGCCUGGGAAACUGGGUCUAAUACUGGAUAUGACUCCACGGUGCAUGUCGUGGGGUGGAAAGCCUUGUGCGGGCUGAGGAUGGGGCCCGCGGCCUAUC